rnacentral:rRNA from 1 species
GUCCACGCUGUAAACGAUGAUCACUGGAUAUGGGAUUUGCAAAGCAGAUUCUGUGUCGAAGCUAACGCGUUAAGUGAUCCGCCUGGGGAGUACGGUCGCAAGAUUAAAAACUCAAAGAAAUUGACGGGGGUCCGCACAAGCGGUGGAACAUGUGGUUUAAUUCGACACUACGCGAGGAACCUUACCUGGGCUUGACAUGUAACUGUUACUGAUGGAAACAUCGGGUUCUAUGGGAAACCAUGGACUGUUACACAGGUGCUGCAUGGCUGUCGU